GCGCCAUUAGCUCAGUGGAUCAGAGCGUCUGCCUCCGGAGCAGAAGGUCGUAGGUUCGAACCCUAUAUGGCGCACCA
rnacentral:tRNA from 2 species